AUUUUCACAACUUGUAUAUUUGACGCACGUUGACUGGACUGCUAGUCACGUGGACCGCACUGUGGCUCCAAUUGACUUUUGGACCACAAAACAGUGCAAGUCAGUGUACAAGUGGAUUCGAGACCACGGUGGUCACACAAGUGGAAAGUUGGGCAACCCACAAAUGACGCAAUAUUCAAAGUUGUGUGUGAGUUGAAAGAUGAGGUCUUCCGGCUUGAUUUGAAGGUGAACAGCGCAAAAGAGCUGUUACUGAAGGUACUCUCGACUUACCUUGGGAAGGGGACUAUGAAUGAAGUGUUGGAGAUACCUGAGACGAGCAAAGUUCAGCGCUCGCUUUCGUUCAACGGGGAGACCGAGAAGAAGGAUGGCGUGGGUGUCGAGGAAAAGGAUGGUGAAGGGACGAAGGAUAAAUUGGAAGAGGAUGUUGAUGAUGUAGAGAGUGUCCCUUCACUUAAUCUAUC